CUUGUCUCCAAGUAUUGGAGCCUGACCUUCUGUGUCUGCUGCUCUUCUACUUGUCACCAUGAAGUUCCUGGCACUCCUGGUGUUGCUUGGUGUUUCCACUAUUCUAGUCUCUUGCCAGGACGCAGGGACAGACACUGCUGACACUUCUGAUACUGCUGAUGGAACCACUGACUCUGGAACUCAGGCAGACGCUACUGAUGGACAGCAAGAUGCUGAGUCCUCUGAUGGAACCAACGAUGGUACUGAGGGCACUAGUGAUGGCGGUGAUGGUGAUGCGCCUGCUGACCAGGAUCAGGAACAGACAGAUGAUGAGAACACUACUGCAGAUGAAUCCUCCGAUGAUGAUGAUGUCGAGGAAGAAGGGGAUGAUGAUGACGAGGAAGAAGAGAAAGAAGAGGACAAAAAGCCCAACCCAAUACUCGCAUUGAUUGAAUUGGCUAAGAAACUGAAAGAAAAAUAUAAGUUGGGAUAAGUUUUGAUCUUCCUGGACCAGAUUAAAACAUCCUUGAAUUGAUUUCCUGCAAUUAUUUACCCUGACUAUUCUCUCUCCCUCCUCUCUAACUUUUAUCUUCUAUGAAAUAAACGAUAGUCACAAGCAGCAUC
rnacentral:lncRNA from 1 species